rnacentral:rRNA from 1 species
UACGUAGGGUGCAAGCGUUAAUCGGAAUUACUGGGCGUAAAGCGUGCGCAGGCGGUGAUGUAAGACAGUUGUGAAAUCCCCGGGCUCAACCUGGGAACUGCAUCUGUGACUGCAUCGCUGGAGUGCGGCAGAGGGGGAUGGAAUUCCGGCGUGUAGCAUGUGAAAUGCGUAGAUAUGCGGAGGAACACCGAUGGCGAAGGCAAUCCCCUGGGCCUGCACUGGACGCUCCAUGCACGAAAGCGUGGGGAGCAAACAGGA